GACUAGCUAGCUCAGUUGGUAGAGCAUGAGACUCUUAAUUUCAGGGUCAUGGGUUCAAGCCCUGUGCUGGGCG
rfam:Pelodiscus sinensis unplaced genomic scaffold scaffold222, whole genome shotgun sequence.